rnacentral:lncRNA from 1 species
CUUACCCUUGGGAAGUGAGCACGCGCAGUGCGUUUAGGAAGUUGUACGCAUACCCAACUGAAGCUUUCUUCCCUUCUCCAGUGGAGUGCACCUGCACAGAAACUCUCUCUGUACCACGUACCUGCUGCCAGAAGCUGGGAAGGAGUGGUGCUGGUGAUUCAAAACUGAUUUUCCUGCCUCUUCGAUGCCUCUUUUAGUGACAUACAGUUAAGACCAGGCACUGCUGGACUGAAGUGGCAUGAUCACAGCUCGCUGCAACCUUAACCUCUUGGUCUCAAUUGAUCCUCCUACCUGAACCUCUCAAGUAGAGCUGGGACUACAGUGCACACCACCAUGCCCAGCAAUGUGUGAAAGAGCCUCUUUCCCUACUGCUUCACCAAGUUUAAAACUUCAAAUUUUUUCAACUUGAUAGGUCAGAAGGAAACUACUUGCUCAAAAGGAGACCAGAGGAAUGAAAAUGUGGUAUAACCAGGAGUUGCGAAGUGGUCGUAGUUGUUCAUGUCUCAAUCUGGAUCAUCUUUGCUUUUUGCUUCUGCUUUGUGCUAUCCCUCUUCCCGUACCUCAGUUCUAUCUGGAACCAUGAUCUGUGACUGCCAUGGAAAAGUGUUGGGCAGGAGGAGGCCAGCUGGGUCUUUGAAGUUGACAAUGGAGCCAGGAAUGAAAGCUGCACUUAGGAUGAGAAUUGCUUUCCCUGGAGCCAAGUCAGCAAAUGCAGUCUGGUUGUCAGAGCUGAGAGGCUUCACCAAGUCAAGUAGGGGAGGACAUCUUCACUCUGCAACUUGCCCUACUGAAUGCAGAAAGUACUGUCUACUUAGAUAAAGCCUACACUAAAAGGGAAUUGAAUCUCUGCAAAUAAGUAUGUGGAUCUAAUUUCUACCUUCCAGAUUAAAAGUAUAAU